UUUAAAGCACAGGCUAGUUCUAUAAAUGUAGCAGUUUGCUGCUGUCAGCUGGCUAGAGACUUUACUUGGCUGAACUACUGUAUGAAACAUUUGGCAGGUAUUGCAACUGGGGCUUGAGUGAAUGUGGAGGAAACAAGUGGAAAGACCUGGUAAUAAAUACGAUUCUGUGAAAUGAAGGAAGAAAUGUGUUUUGAACUCGAGAAUAAGAAACACCCGAAUGAUAGAUAAAAUAACACCUGAAUAAACAACACCCAAAUGAUAGAAUCAACUAGACUUAAAAUAGUAGUGGAAAGCAUGUGAAGGAUCUGAUGAAAAAGGAAGCAAGAGGACUUCACGCAACUGAUCAGUCUCAUGCGACUCCACCACUAUUCUAGGAGAUGAAUGAAUAAAAUAUAUCUCUCUGAAUGCUAUUAUUCAAUUUUGAGGUAGCUAUUGAUUCAGUGGAAUGAGCCCUUUGUUAACUCCAAAGAAUAUGUUACAUUACUGUUAAAAUCAGACCUAUGUAAAAAGUAGGUCUGAUUUUAAAAUUAAGCACUAUUUAAGAAGAGAAGUCAAAAUAAUACCAGAAAGCAUGAGUGAGAGUAAUGCAAGGGAUUAGCAUUUCUAUAAUCUUCUCAUAAAUCAAUGUUACGGAAACAUGCAAGAAAGAAAAUUUGUAAAAGGUAUCUCAUUCACAAAUUACUCCAUGUAGUUCUCUUCAGUGAUGAGAUGCUUACUGCACUUAUGUAUCAAAGAUGAGUCCUAUAUAAUGAAAAUCACAACAAGUGAGACUGCAGGACAGUAAAGAAACACAUAUUGAAUGACCUCAUGAAGCAUUGCGUCUACUUAUUAUGAUGAGAAAAACAUGACAAAUAAUGAAGCCCAUGGAGAUACACAAAGUAACAUUUUAAAAAGCAUUGAAAUGAUUUAAGAGUCCAAGUCCUAAGCAACCAAAGAUGCUAACAUGACAUUAAUUCCACUGAAUACAUUGAUGAAUAUUGUGCACAAUGGUAUAUUAUUUAUUCAUUGCCUCCCAUUGUUUGUGUAUCAGUUAGGAUGGAUACGGUACAUGGAAUCCUAACUUGAAUUUUGUUUUUCACAGUUAGUCAAAAUCCAGAGUCAUUGAAUUAGUUGUUCCUUAUUUGAUCAAGGUUAAAACAGAAUUUUGUAUAGCGUGUAUAGCACGCAGACCUUGGGCUAAGAGUAAUAAGCCUGUCAUUCUUUAAAUUUACUUGCCUGUUUUUGUGUUCCUCAGAUGUAUUCUUAAACUAUACCCCAAAAGAGAAAACCAAUAGUGAUGUUUUAGUAUGGAAUUUGUAUCUACUUCGGCUGUCCUGUUUGUGAUAAAAAGGGUAACAGUGCCCCAAGUUACAAGUGAAAAACUUACAGAUAAAAUUCCUUCUUAUUUCUAUUAUGUGCUGGUCUAACAAGCAAAAAAAAAUUAUCCAAGGACACUGCAAAUAAAGAGACUGGUAUUCUUAUCCUCUAGUGUCUUAAGUAACAGUUUAAAUUAAGAAAUUUAUGAAACAUUAAUAUUUUUAAAACAGAACUUUUCCUCUUCUUUCUUUGAAUAUCUGUUAUCAUUGACUCGUAUAAUGGCAUCUGACCAAAAAAUGGAGGUUUUCUUUAAAAACACAAAGAGAAAUUCAGUAAAUCAGGUUUGUAUUUUCUAAUCUGUAAACAUUUUAAAUUUAUUUUGAGUCUUAAAUAUGUUGAGGCUAUCGCAUUUGCUUUGACUAAACUCUAAUAGAUUGCUGCUAGCUACAGAAGAUUAGGGGAGGGAGAAUUUACUACUUUUCCAGACCUCAACCUUUAUCUUUGUCAAAAUAAAAUGUUUCUAUUUUUUCCAAAAUUCAUUUUUCUUAUUGCCUACAGCAAAAACAAGAAAGAUGCUUAGGUC